GAUGAACGCUAGCGGCAGGCCUAACACAUGCAAGUCGAGGGGUAACUAGAGUGAUAGCAAUAUUACUUUGGCUAGACCGGCGCACGGGUGCGUAACACGUAUGCAACCUACCUUAUACUGGGGAAUAACUUCGAGAAAUCGGCGCUAAUACCCCAUAACAUUGCGAAGAGGCAUCUCUUUGCAAUUAAAGCUCCGGCGGUAUAAGAUGGGCGUGCGUCCAAUUAGCUAGUUGGGGGGGUAACGGCUCACCAAGGCUACGAUUGGUAGGGGCUCGGAGGCGAUGAUCCCCCACAAGUGUACUAAGACGCGGACCAGACUCCUGCGGGAGGCAGCCGUUAGGAAUAUUACGCCAUGGAUAGAAGGCUGUCGCAGCCAUGCCGCGUGCAGGAUGACGGCCCUAUGGGGUGUAACUGCGUUUGUACGGGAAUAAACCCUUCUACGUGUAGGAGGCUGAAGGUACCGUAAGAAUAAGCACCGGCUAACUCCGUGCCAGCCGCCGCCGUAAUAC
rnacentral:rRNA from 1 species